CUUGUCAGUGAUGAACAUUGUGCUUGAUCGUCUCUAAAAUGAAAUAAUCUCACAUGCACUACCAUCUGAGGCGGC